rnacentral:rRNA from 1 species
CACCUUUGACAUGGCAGGAACUUACCAGAGAUGGUUUGGUGCUCGAAAGAGAACCUGCACACAGGUGCUGCAUGGCUGUCGUCAGCUCGUGUCGUGAGAUGUUGGGUUAAGUCCCGCAACGAGCGCAACCCUUGCCAUUAGUUGCUACAUUCAGUUGAGCACUCUAAUGGGACUGCCGGUGACAAACCGGAGGAAGGUGGGGAUGACGUCAAGUCCUCAUGGCCCUUAUAGGUGGGGCUACACACGUCAUACAAUGGCUGGUACAAAGGGUUGCCAACCCGCGAGGGGGAGCUAAUCCCAUAAAGCCAGUCGUAGUCCGGAUCGCAGUCUGCAACUCGACUGCGUGAAGUCGGAAUCGCUAGUAAUCGCGGAUCAGCUUGCCGCGGUGAAUACGUUCCC